GACAACGUCCAAAUCACAUUGAAACUACCAGUUCUCGUCUGAUCACUGAAGUCAAGUAACGUUGAGCACGGUUAGUACUUGGAUGGGAUUUAAAAAUCCAAGACGACUAUAAUA
rnacentral:rRNA from 1 species